rnacentral:rRNA from 1 species
GGCCAGACUCCUACGGGAGGCAGCAGUGGGGAAUAUUGGGCAAUGGGCGCAAGCCUGACCCAGCAACGCCGCGUGAAGGAAGAAGGCCCUCGGGUUGUAAACUUCUUUUGUCAGGGACGAAGAAAGUGACGGUACCUGACGAAUAAGCCACGGCGAACUACGUGCCAGCAGCCGCGGUAAUACGUAGGGAGCGAGCGUUGUCCGGAUUUACUGGGUGUAAAGGGUGCGUAGGCGGCUAUGCAAGUCAGUAGUGAAAUCCAUGGGCUUAACCCAUGAACUGCUAUUGAAACUGCACAGCUUGAGUGAAGUAGAGGUAGGCGGAAUUCCCGGUGUAGCGGUGAAAUGCGUAGAGAUCGGGAGGAACACCAGUGGCGAAGGCGGCCUACUGGGCUUUAACUGACGCUGAGGCACGAAAGCGUGGGUAGCAAACAGGAUUAGAUACCCGCGUAU